AGGAAUGUUAUGACAAAAAAGAAAGCUUCUAACUUUCCUUUAAGCGGUUAAAUUCCGUUUACAUUCCUA
rnacentral:tRNA from 1 species